rnacentral:rRNA from 1 species
CGAACGCUGGCGGCGUGCUUAACACAUGCACGUCGAACGGAAAGGCCCUGCUUUUGUGGGGUGCUCGAGUGGCGAACGGGUGAGUAACACGUGAGUAACCUGCCCUUGACUUUGGGAUAACUUCAGGAAACUGGGGCUAAUACCGGAUAGGAGCUCCUGCUGCAUGGUGGGGGUUGGAAAGUUUCGGCGGUUGGGGAUGGACUCGCGGCUUAUCAGCUUGUUGGUGGGGUAGUGGCUUACCAAGGCUUUGACGGGUAGCCGGCCUGAGAGGGUGAACGGCCACAUUGGGACUGAGAUACGGCCCAGACUCCUACGGGAGGCAGCAGUGGGGAAUAUUGCACAAUGGGCGGAAGCCUGAUGCAGCAACGCCGCGUGCGGGAUGACGGCCUUCGGGUUGUAAACCGCUUUCGCCUGUGACGAAGCGUGAGUGACGGUAAUGGGUAAAGAAGCACCGGCUAACUACGUG